AGCAUAUCAAUAAGCGGAGGAAAAGAAACUAACAAGGAUUCCCCUAGUAACGGCGAGUGAAGCGGGAAGAGCUCAAAUUUGAAAUCUGGCGGUCUAAGGCCGUCCGAGUUGUAAUCUAGAGAGGUGUUUUCUGUGCCGGACCGUGUACAAGUCCCUUGGAACAGGGCGUCAUAGAGGGUGAGAAUCCCGUCCAUGACACGGACUACCGGUGCUCUGUGAUACACCUUCAAAGAGUCGAGUUGUUUGGGAAUGCAGCUCAAAAUGGGUGGUAAAUUCCAUCUAAAGCUAAAUACAGGCGAGAGACCGAUAGCGAACAAGUACCGUGAGGGAAAGAUGAAAAGAACUUUGGAAAGAGAGUUAAACAGUACGUGAAAUUGUUGAAAGGGAAACGCUUGAAGUCAGUCGCGUCCGCCGGGACUCAGCCUUGCUUUUGCUUGGUGCACUUCUCGGUGGAUGGGCCAGCAUCGAUUUUGAUCGCCGGAAAAGGGCGGGAGGAAUGUGGCAGCUUGCUGUGUUAUAGCCUCUCGUCGUACACGGUGGUCGGGAUCGAGGACUGCAGCACGCCUUUGGUCGGGGUUCGCCCACGCCACUGUGCUUAGGAUGCUGGCGUAAUGGCUUUAAACGACCCGUCUUGAAACACGGACC
rnacentral:rRNA from 1 species